AAAGGACAAAUGAGUCAGAAAGAAGAGAGAAGAUAAUGAGGGUGACUAACUCAGGAUCACUUCUGUCACUUGUAGUGGCUGAGGGCCAGGCGAUACUCCAGUGACACGCUCCCGGCUGGCCCCAUCACACAGCCAUCAAGAACCUACUGUGAUCAUCAGAUACUUACUUCAACAUUUAUUCCUUACAGCUAAAUCUUUAAGGAAGUGAAAGAAUCAGACUUUAGGAUCCUCUUAAGAUGCAGGUACAUCAAGUUGAUGGAGAUUUAAUCCGCUGCUCCUGAGGCUUCUGGGAGAGAUUUCCUUUUCUCUUCUUUGUUUGCACAGCUCCUGGGGUUCAGCUUUGGAUUUGGACCCGCCUUUGCAUGUAGGUCGCUGGAGGGCAUCUGUUCUUCGUUCAGACAGGACGGGGUUAAAGGAGCGGCUGAUUCGGGGGCUCUGGCUGACUCAGGCUGGGGGAAGGGAGGUGUAUGGAUGCGGGGUGAGCCUGUGGCAGCAGAGGCCGGCGUGACAGUGCACCAGCCUGAGGCGUGCCGUGUGUUCUCCUGGGGAAGUUGUCCCUGGAUCACAGGACCCUGGCAGUGGCGGGCUGCACAGGCUUCUGGGAGGGGAGGUGUGGAGAGUGAGCUGUGCUCGCACACAGGCUUCUUGGUGGUGACAGCAGCAGCCUUAGCGUCUCAUGUCUGUCUCUGGUGUCCGCGCUGAUAGCCGCAGCUCGCACCCGUGUCUGGAGCUCCUUUAAGCAGCGCUCUUAAUCCCCUCUCCUUGCGCACCAGGAAACAAAGAGGUAAGAAGAAGUCUCUUGCCUCUUCGGCAGGUCCAGACAUUUUCCCGGACUCCCUCCCGGCUAGCCGUGGUGCAGUAACCCCCUGCAGGCUAUGUUCACGCCGCCACCCCCAGUCCUCUCCAGGCGCUCCGACCGAAGCCUGAGCCUCAGCUCCCAGCCCCGCCCACCCCGGCAGGUGAGCAGACAAGCCUCUCGGGCUGGUGAGUGCCUGUCGGCACCAAUCUUCCGUGCGGGAAUCUCUCCCCGCACCCCUGUUGCCGUUCUCUCCUCCGCGGCUCCGAAGCUCCCCCCACUCCGCCACCUGCAGUCUCCGCCCCGCGAAGGGGCUCCUAACGUGUGGAAACCUUUCCUCCUUCACAGCUCCCUCCCAGAGAUGCAGGUCCCGUCCCUAUUCUUUUGUCUCUGUUUUCUUUUUUCUUUUCCCUACCCAGGUACGUGGGGAGUUUCUUGCCUUUUGGGAGGUCUGAGGUCUUCUGCCAGUGUUCAGUAGGUGUUCUGUAGGAGUUGUUCCACGUGUAGAUGUAUUUCUGGUGUAUCUGUGGGGAGGAAGGUGAUCUCCACGUCUUACUUUUCAGCCAUCUUGAAGGUCUCUCUCUCCUUAACUAGUUUUAAUGGUAAUUUUUAUUGUGAGUAAACAUGAAUGAUACAUGUACAAUUUGUAUAAACACUUUCUUUUUUUUAAAAUAAUUUAGUAUGUGGGGUUUUCUUGUUUUGUUUUUUUAUAAAUUUAUUUUUGUCUGCGUUGGGUCUUCGUUGCUGUUCGUGGUCUCUAGUUGUUUUGAGCAGGGGCUACUCUUCGUUCUGGUGCGCAGGCUUCUCAUUGCGGUGGCUUCUCUUGUUUCAGAGCACGGGAUCUAGGUGCAGGAGCUUCAGUAGUUGUGGCUCGCGGCCUCUGGAGUGCAGGCUCAGUAGUUGCGGUGCACGGGCUUAGUUCCGCGGCAUGUGGGAUCUUCCCGGACCAGGGCUCGAACUCGUGUCCCCUGAUUGGCAGGUGGAUUCUUACCCACUGCACCACCAGGGAAGCCCUAAACACCUUGUUUCCAUUUAUCUGAUGCAAAGGCAAGUUCAUGGUGUUUUUGAAAAAUGAAUCAUAGAAAGUUUGGAGAAUAUUCAGUCCAAUUUAGUCAACAAAUGAGAAAAGCAAGCUUCUAAUUAUUUUGUUGAAGAUAACUAGCACAUGACCAAGGCAGAAAGAGACCCUGUCCUUCUGAUCAUUUGCCCAAGUUGGUGUUUACCACUUUGGUGUUGUUAACAAUAAGAGCAUGUGUAAUUACGUUAAAAAGGAAUGUUUAAGCAACGUUGCUGCAAAGGCGAAUAUUAUAUGGAUGGCAGGGAAGUGAUUUUUAAGACAUUCUCAAAGAAAUGUUAACAGCCAGUAGGCACGGCACAGCCCUGGAUGUUCUCGGAGGCUCACAGGGGAGUGAGACAAAAUCAAUUUCUUAUUCUAGUCCCUCGCUUCUAUGCAUUUAAAUGGUCCUGCGGCAGCCCUAACAUCUAUAGUCCCUUUAAUAGACAGCAUGGGGCUUUGCUGGUGGCGCAGUGGUUAAGAAUCUGCCUGACAAUGCAGGGGACACAGGUUUGAGCCCUUGUCCAGGAAGAUCCACAUGCCGUGGAGCAACUAAGCCCGUGCGCCACAACUACUGACCUGCACUCCGGAGCCUGCGAACCACAACUACUGAGCCCGUGUGCCUAGAGCCUGUGCUCCACAACAAGAGAAGCCACCGCAAUGAGAAGCCUGUGCACCACAACGAAGAGUAGCCCCUGCUCACCACAACUAGAAAGUCCGUGUGCAGCAACGGAGACAAAAUGCAGCCAAAAAUAACUAAACAAAUAAAAAUAGCAUGAACUUUUGUUUUGUUUUCAGCACACAGAUAAGUACCCUGGAGCAUUCCUCUAGAAUAUGUAAAGAAAGGCAGGAGGAGUAAUUGUUCUCCCAAAUUAGAGUUGGCAACAUGGAUAACUUAGGGAGUUGAAGUUUCAAGUACCAUGUAUUUAGUUUUGUUUUCCUGUUAUUACAGCUCAGAAGAUGCUGUUUUAUAUUCGACCUCCACUCUGGUUAAAGAAGGCAAUUUGUUCCUCCUCAAAUGUUUUCAAGAGGGAUUUAAAAUAUUUUGACUUUUAAAUUAUGCAGUUUUUUCCAAAACUUUAAAAGCCAACUCAGGAUCAGCGCCCCCCUGUUCCAAUGCCAAAGGAAGAUUAAAAUAAUAACUCACACAGAUGCCCACACUACCUGAAAAUGUGCACUUUGGGAAGUUAGGUGUUAAAUACAACUUGAACUUAAGUGCAGAGAGUCUUCUACUAAAAAACUUUUACAAAAGUCACCAUGGUCCCAUUUGAAAUUACCCAGGUCAGGAGCUGUCCCUCUGGUCAGUGACUCUGUAGGAAUAACCACAGGGACUGCUUUGUGAUAAAGAUCUUGCUUCCUAUUUCAGAAGCUCUGAACACCGAAGAUAAAAGCUAUCUCAUUUUCACUUGCUUUUAAGAAACUGAAAAUAGGGACUUUCCUGGUGGUCCAGUGGUUGAGAAUCCGUCUUCCAGUGCAUGGGAUGCCGGUUCGAUCCCUGAUCAGGGAACUAAGAUCCCACGUGCCGCAGGGUAACUAAGCCUGCGUGGUGCAACUACUGAGCCCACACGCUCUGGAGCUCAUGUGCCACAACUAGAGAGAAGCCUGCGUGCCGCAAUGAAGAGCCCACAUGCCGCAACGAAAGAUCUCACGUGCUGCAACGAAGACCUGACGCAGCCCAAAAUAAAUAAAUAUUUUUAAAAACCUGAAAAUAACUUUAAAAAGUGUAUGGUAUGGGCUUCCCUGGUGGCGCAGUGGUUGAGAGUCCACCUGCCGAUGCAGGGGACACGGGAUCGUGCCCCGGUCUGGGAGAGUCCCAUGUGCCGCGGAGCGGCUGGGCCCGUGAGCCAUGGCUGCUGAGCCUGCACGUCCGGAGCCUGUGCUCCACAGCGGGAGAGGCUGCAACGGUGAGGGGCCCGCAUACCGCAAAACAAAAACAGAAGAGGACACUGUCUCUGGAGAACUCCUGCCACACACAUGCUCCAGCUACAUAAAACACAUCCUGGGGGGUCUGGGGUCCUGGUCCUUUUGAGCCCAGCCCUGUUCUGCCCAGAAGCAGCACCCAAGGAGCACGAGAAGGGCCCCCCCCCCCGCUUUUGUGACUCCCAACAAAGAGACACAGAAGACAGAAACCUCUCCUUUAAAAAAUUCUUUUCCUCCUUCCUUCUUUCCCUCACUGCCUCUCAUCUUGUUCUUUCUUUCACCUUCUUUUCUUGAGGGAGACACAAACUUAGUGUUAUCAUCUGAACAAGUUCUCCUUCCAAAUUCACUGCUGGUUUUCUAUAUAAUAUAUAUAUUCCCCCCGCCAGGGGGAGGCUAGGGGACUAUUCCUCACUGUUUCACCUGCUAUGAUUUAGGCUACAGGCUAAAAGCCAGCAGAACCUGCUGGGAAACAGAACUGGUUACGGAGGUGAAGAUAAACAAGCCAUUUUUGCUCCCGUUUUGAAGGACCUAUCCAUCGAAAAUGUUACAACAUGCCUCAGUGGUUUUAAGACAUCUCGCUUUGCAGACUCCAUACCAUCCUUCACUGUCAAACUCAGCACAGCAAAUAUUUCAAACUGCAGUGUUAACCUACUCUAUCAAAUUACAGCGUGCCAAUCAAUAAGCUGUACCACAUCUCUGCUAACUGCCAUCUUAUUUGUGUGUUACAAGAAGCCGACUGGGCUGAAUUAAAUACAAUGAAAGACCUUCUAUUUUUACCGCUGUUUGCCUCUUCCCAUCAGGCAGAACCUGAUACUUACCAGCUCCUUGAAAAGCCUAAAGUGGUGCAUGGCCUCUGUAUAUUUCUCCCCCACUAAGGUUUACUUGAUAAAUCUUAUUUCUCAGCUUGGGAACCCUGUGUGCUCAGUGCUUUAUAGUCCGAGCGGUCAUCAAUAACAUAACCGGAGGGCUUCCCUGGUGGCGCAGUGGUUGAGAGCCUGCCUGCCAAUGCAGGGGACACGGGUUCGAGCCCUGGUCUGAUCCCACAUGCCACGGAGCAACUAGGCCCGUGAGCCACAACUACUGAGCCUGCGCAUCUGGAGCCUGUGCUCCGCAACGAGAGGCCGCGAUGGUGAGACGCCUGCGCACCGUGAUGAAGAGUGGCCCCCGCUUGCCACAACUAGAGAAAGCCCUCGCACAGAAACGAAGACCCGACACAGCCAAAAAAAUAAACAAAUGUGGGAUUUAAAAUAAAUAAAUAAAUAAAAUAACAUAACUGGAGCAGACUCCGUCGCCAGUACUGGGUGUUGCUCAUGCACCCAACAUGCUCUGGGAAACAUCUUCCCUGCCUGUCUCGGGAUCCAAGAGGGAAAGAGAAUGGACACAUGCUCUUACCAUUAUCAUUGCCUUGCUUGAUUUCCUCUGCUGUCCGAUCAAUCAACACGUACAAAGACCAGACCACGCAGGUGAUGGCAAUGACGUGGAAGGUGACAGAGCAGAAUAUCUUCCUCCUCUCACUCCUGGUCAUCUGCAGUUUCUCCCACUGCAAUUACAAAUGAAUCACACACAACUGAAUCCCCAACCCGUAAAUGUUGCUCCCCAUUUAUACCCCAGGCAUAAAUCGUGAAUCGAGGGAAAACACUGAAGAGCUGUCAUUUAGAUGACACUAUAAUACAUAAGUCUUUGUGUUUGAAAAGAUCUGAAAUCAUAACCCGUGGAGUUAUAAUAACUUAAGCAUACAUUAAAAUGAAAAAAAAAUUCCUAUUCUCCAAAUGAAUUAAAUUAGGUCAUUCCUGGUUUGCUACCCUGUAAGUUCCCUUGUCUGUAACACGAAGGGGCCAGUUUUAUACUGUACAAUUUUCAGAAAUCAUUUCCACUCAGGUGUCUGCAUAUUACUUCUCUGUGGUCCUAGGUUAUAAGCAGUAAUACAUAGUCUCUUCUUGGAUUAAUACAUAACCUGAUAGAGUGUUGCAUUCUUGAAUGUGUCAACUUAAGUAUUUGAAUGGUAUCUGUGAGAGAAAGUCAACAUCUGUUCACAACUCUUCUAGAAGACAAAUUUUAUCCUCCUGGCAAUGGGAGGUGGUCAGCUGCAACCCCUUCCAGAGCAGCCUUGCUUUUCUGCUGCCACUACUGUCACAACCACUGUCCCCAAGUCACACUCCUCAGAAAGUUGAGGGCUGCCCCCUCAGCCUUCGAAAGGGGGAGGGCCACAGUGUUUAUAGUAAGUAGUCAAGGAUUACAUGAGGGAACAUCUCCAUUAUUUACUUUGAAGUAAUAAGCUCUCAAAUGAAAUUUUUGCUGCCAAACAAAAUUUUAAUGCCUUGACAGUGACACUAUCACUUGAUUACUGUGUUAGGAUUUGAUCUUUAUUUUUCUUUGCAUAUUUCUAUAGGAAAAUCAAACCACUAUGAUCUUAUUAAAUCAUGGAUUAUUUCAGUAAUCCAUGAUUCUUUACAUUCUUUUUUCUUAAAAAUUGAAGUAUAGUUGAUUUACAAUAUUGUAUUAGUUUCAGGUGUACAGCAAAGUGAUUGUUUUAUAUAUAUGUAAAUGUAUAUAUAUAUUCUUUUUCAGAUUCUUUUCCAUUAUAGAUUAUUACAAGAUAUAAUAGCUCCCUGUGAUAUAUAGUAGGUCCUUGUUAUCUGUUUUCUAUAUAGUAGUGUGUAUCUGUUAAUCCCAAACUCUUUUUUUUUUUUUAACAUCUUUAUUGGGGUAUAAUUGCUUUACAAUGGUGUGUUAGUUUCUGCCCCACAACAAAGCAAAUCAGUCACACCAAACUCUUAAUUUAUCCAUUCUCCCACCCUAUCCCCUUUGGUGACCAAAAGUUUGUUUUCUAUUUCUGUGUCUAUUUCUGUUUUGUAGAUAGGUCCAUUUGUAUCUUUUUUUAGAUUCCACAUAUAAGUGAUAUUAUAUUUGUGUCUGUCUGACUUACUUCACUUAGUAUGAUAAUCUUUAGGUCCAUCCAUGUUGCUGCAAACAGCAUUAUUUCUGUGGCUGAGUAGUAUUCCAUUGCGUGUGUGUGUGUGUGUAUGAUAUAUCACAUCUUCGUUACCCACUCCUCUGUCGAUGGACAUUUAGGUUGCUUCCAUAUCUUGGCUAGUAGUGUGAAUAGUGCUGCUAUGAGUCGUCACAUUCUUUACCUGUUAUGCUCUUGCUAAAGCAGAAUUCUUAGAGCUUCAGAAGACACUCCUUUCCCAUCCCACCCCACCAUCAUGCUCCAUGAAGCCCUGGCUCUGCCACCAGCUCUGAGACAUGGGUGAAGCCUUCGGUCUUUCCGGGCCCAGGUGCCUCAUCUUCCUUAGAGUCAGAGAUGUGACAGGUGUGGUGGAGAAUACACUCCUCUCCUUUUCCUGCAUUAACAGACCAAGCCUCUGAGGGUUGGCACUGUGCCAGCUUGACAAGGACUGUUUCCUACCGGUGAGAUGUGAGUGGCUAUCUCCCGGGAUGCUGAGUUUUUGUCUUCCUGACAUAGGAAUUGCCCCUUCCUCCUUCAUUUUCUCUCCUUUGCUAUUAAUUAGGAAUUCCUAAUUAAUGGUAAAAGCCCCAACAGUCACCGUACAAACCUUGAGGAAAAGUCUUGAGAAUUGGAGAGACCUCAGCCAGUCGACCACAGCUCACUCCCAGCUGCCUGUCAUAUGCGAGGGAAAGAAAGCCCCGUCUGACUGAGCCAUUAUUUCUCAGGCCUCUGCUCCUGGCUGUCAAAUGCCAUUCCUGAUAGGAUCAAAUGGAAACCUCCUAACUUCCCUUCCGGUCUGAAUGUGAAGGUCCUAUCACUUCUUUGUGAGAGAGCACAAUGCUUAGAGUCUGAUCAUGACCCUCUAGAAAGCUUCUUAAACAUUUUAGAAAAAUAAAUGUUUUAUUUACAAACACUAUCCGUUCCUCUCUUGCUGGCCGGUUAGUCAUCACAGAGUUUUCCUUACAGAGUCUGUUAGAGCCAACUAACCAUUCGUACCUCAUCUUGGACUUUCUUUUCCAACAAACUGUAUGUUAUAUAUUAUUCUAACUAAAUAAUGGAAAAAUCUUAGUGAUGAAGCUAUGGGGAAACCAGAUGCUUCAAUCUAAAAUCUAUUUUUAAUCAAUACUGAAUUGAGAAGAUUUCAGGAUGUGCAUCUUAGCUUUUAUCAAAACUUCACAUCAUAGGUAUGAAAGAUUUUUAAAAUUUCAUUUUGUUAUUGAUUUAUUAUGUUAAUCUGAAUAAUUUGUGUGAUAAUAGAACAGAACAUUAUUGCUUGGCAACAGCAUUUUGUGAUUCAAUAACUAUUUCUUGGAUUACCUCAGACUCCAGUAUAACCAGAUAAAAAGUGCAGGAUGGUGCAGAAGGGCAGCUUUACAUGUUCAAAUUUCCUAAACGUUCCAAGCAGAUGGCGAUACCUUCAUACUAAAAUAUUCAUACCAAAUCAACCCUCACUUGUAAGUCUGGCUUUGGGAAAAACGCUUAAAAAGUGAAUCUUCGGGCUUCCCUGGUGGCGCAGUGGUUGAGAGUCCACCUGCCAAUGCAGGGGACACGGGUUCGUGCCCCGGUCCGGGAAGAUCCCACAUGCCGCGGAGCGGCUGGGCCCGUGAGCCAUGGCCGCCGAGCCUGCGCGUCAGGAGCCUGUGCUCUGCAACGGGAGAGGCCACAGCAGUGAGAGGCCCGCGUACCGCAAAAAAAAAAAAAAAAAAAAAAAGUGAAUCUUCUUCAGUCUAAGGAGCGUUUUGAUGAAGUGGCUGAAACACAUUCUUCAAAAGUAAUGAGCCUCAAAUAGAAAAAUAUCAGCGGGGCUGACAGGGAUGAACCAAACUCCUUUUAGUUCCAGACAAUAGAAGCUCUGAAGCUGUCACUUCCUAAUCUCAGCAGCGUUUUAAGAAGUGGAGUGUAAAAGGACCAGCAAACGUUGCUAUUUUUCUUUACAAAUCCUCUCAGGGACCACUCAGGAAUUCACCAGACAGCACACGAGUAAACGCGGUACCACAGCGCCCUCCUCCUGACGAUCAUAUCACUGCACACGAUACCCAGCACCAGGCAUUCACUGAAACGUCAUCAAUUUCAUAAAAUGUUCGUCCACAUUUUUGUACUUUCAGGUUUAUAUACAAAGUUUGAAUAAGUUUCGCAAGCCCCCCAGUGAGAAGUGGAUCGAGAAGGCAAAGAUAGAAAUCUUAUUUUAACAAAGUUGUCACGAAAGGGCAAAUACUAAUUUAUUAUUUGGGAUGCUAAAAUUCAACACCAUCAGUUCGCAAAAGAUUUUGUGAUAGCACAGCGCUAAUCUGCACAAAUGCACAUUGCAGCGGGCUUCCCUGCCCAGUUUUAUAAAGUAAUGGGUGCUUAUGCCCACAGACCACGUGUCCGUUGUGAAACCCCCCCGACCUGUGGAGCAUUAAGGGGAGGGAGCCUCCUGGGUGCUCAGUUUUAAGCGGACACGUCUCUGCAGGGGGUCUCAGAGGAGCUGGUGGAAGUGAGCAGACGCAGCAGGGCGGGAGGGGAGGCCGCCUUGAGCGCCUGGGCCUCUUUCCUCGCCAGCCCUUGCCCUCCUCGGCCCGCUCGUUCCCUUCACCUGCAACACCAGCUUCACAAUCUUAGCGCCUGGGACCUCGCUUCCCUUUACAGGAUCCCUGGGUCUCUGGCACCUGUAUACCGUCCUUAGCCUUAGGUCCCUUAUCCAGACCCCUCAACGAUAGAGAGAAUUGAACAGAACUCCGUUAUUCAACUUAGAAAUAUACAAUUAGAUCGUUCUGAAAAGACUUCCAAAUUGGAGCCAAAAUUGACGCAGAUACUGUUUCUGUGAAAUUCGCCGUUUGCUCUAGCGAGAUGAAACUGAUCAAGUUUUCUAAUUUAAAUUACUUGUAUUUGCCUUCUGUCCUAAAAUAUAAAUUCAAAAGCACUGCCUAAUGAGAAUGCUUUUUUAAUGUAUUUUUUGUUGAAGUAUGGUUGAAUUACAACGUUGUGUUAAUUACUGUGGUACAGCAAAGUGACUCAGUUAUACAUAUAUACACAUUCCUUUUUUAAUAUUCUUUUCUAUUAUGGUUUAUCACAGAAUAUUGAAUAUGGUUCCCUGUGCUAUACAGUGGGACCUUGUUUAUCUAUGGGGCAGAGGUUCUUAAAAAGCUUCCCUAGGAGCAUCAGGAUCAACAUGGGACUUGUCACUGUGACAUUAACCAAAGGAGGAGGCCUUUUGGCUGACGUGGCUCAGUGCCUGGGCGCCCACAUGAACAAACCAAAAUCUAAGCCUCUAGACGUCUCACAAUGGACACCAGUCAGAAAGUGUACACGAUGCGAGCUGGUCCCUCAACAGAAUUACAAAUAACCAGGUACACAGACUGCCUGGUUUUCUUGCUAAGAGUCAAAACCUCAAAUGUGACAUCCAUAAAUGUUCUGUGGGUCUACCGCAAUCUCCUGGAAAAACUCUCCCCCCCCCCAUAGUGUUCUGUUCCCUUUUUGUCCACCAAUAAUUACUACUUAGCAUCGUUUAUGCAUGGUCCCACGUGAAGGGGUAUUAUACAUUUCUGAUUGAACGCAGCUCCUCCAUUUCCCGUGGUAACAGGACAAGAGGAAAUGGCCUCACGCUGCAGCAGGGUCUGGGACCCACAUCCAAAGAACUCGCAAGCAGGAACAGUGCAUGUGGGCAUGUGCAGUGAACUUGUGAAGUCUCCCGCUGAAAUGUAACUAUGGGAUUGCCAGCUCUGAUUGCAGGACAUUUGGAGCCUAUGUUGAUCUGGAGUUGGGGGAGGUAGUCAUUGACAUGCAGGGCAGGAAAGGUAACACUGCAAGCAAGUGGCGGUCUUACUGAAAAGUGGUUUACAAAUUUUCCCACAAAGAAGAGGAAUACUUGCGAACAUGGAAUCAGUGGCUUCAUUUGCUACCACCCUUGGCAUCCGGAACUACUGAGUAAUGGGUAUUACCUGGACAUGGAGGGAAUAAUAACACAGAUUCUUCAGCUCUGGGAGUCCUUAUAAGUAGAAGUAGUUUUCAGCCUUGGCUGUCUAACAGAAGCCUCUGGGCAGGUAAGGUCCCAGCACACAUACCAGACCUCACUGACUCCAUCACCGAGAGCACACUUGGUCCGUGGUCCAAGCAUGUCUGCUAAAAAUGAGGGCUCUGCCACUACGUGCUGUGUGCCCUGGGCUGGGUUACUUUAAUCCUCUGUCCUUCCAUUUCCUUACCUGUAAAAUGGUGAUAAGAAUAGUAUCUACAGCAGCCACUAUGGAGAAAAGUAUGAAGUUUCCUCAAAAAACUAAAAAUAGGGUUGCCAUCUGAUCCAGCAAUCCCACUCCUGAGAAUAUAGCUGGAGAAAAUGCUAAUUAGAAAAGACACAUGCACCCUGAUGUGCAUACCAGCACUAUUUACAAUAGCCAAGCCAUGGAAGCAACCUAAGUGUCCACUGACAGAUGACUGGAUAAAGAAGAUGUGGUACAGAUAUACAAUGGAAUUAGCCAUAAAAAAGAAUGAAAUUACGCCAUUUGCAGCAACAUGGAUGGACCUAGAGAUUAUCGUACUAAGCCAGAAAAAGACAAAUAUCAUAUGAUAUAUGAUUAUAUGUAGAAUCUAAAAAGUGAUACAAAUGAACUUAUUUAUAAGACAGAAACCGACUCACAGUCAUAGAAAACAGAAUUAUGGUUACCAUAUUUUAUCUAUGAAAUCGAUAAACAACAAUGUCCUACUGUACAGCACAGGGAACAAUAUUCAAUAUCCUGCAAUAAACCAUCAUGGAAAAGAAUGUGAAAAAGGAUACAUAUGUAUAUGUAUAACUGAAUCACUUUGCUGUACACCAGAAACCAGCACAACAUUGUAAAUCAACUCUACUAUACUCCAAUUAAAAAAAGAAUAGUACUACAGUACAGGGUCAAGUUUAAGUGAGUUAAUGCACAUUGGAAAGAAUUCAACAAAUGGUUAUCAUAACUUGGACCCUGCAGCACCACGGCACCUCAGCCAGUGAGACUCUGGUUGCUUUUUUUUUUUUUUUACGGUACGCGGGCCUCUCACUGUUGUGGCCUCUCCCGCUGCGGAGCACAGGCUCCGGACGCGCAGGCUCAGUGGCCAUGGCUCACGGGCCCAGCCGCUCUGCGGCAUGUGGGAUCUUCCCGGACCGGGGCACGAACCCGUGUCCCCUGCAUCGGCAGGUGGACUCCCAACCACUGCGCCACCAGGGAAGCCCACUCUGGUUGCUUUUACCUUCAUGUUGAUACCAUCACUGGGGGGUGGGGAUGAGUUGGGAUUUGGUCAUUUUGCAGAAUUAAGGCAGUCAAAGCGCCCCACCCCCAUCUAUUUUCCAAGUACAAAUAGAUUUUUCUGAAUAUUGGCUCUCAUAGCAGAGAAAUACAGUUUGUUUUUGUUGACUGUUUAUACAAAGAAGGGCAAGUGAAUGAAUUACUGUGCAUAUCCUAGGUGGACUCUCUUGUUGAAAGACUGCACAACAAUACACCCUUUAUUGUUAGGACUGGAGAAUAUAUCACAGGUUGCAAUGUAUGUCCCAGUAACUUCUCAUUCUUUUUGUCUGGAAAUUCAAAUCAAAAUGUUAUGUUAAAGCCACCUAAAGAAAUACUGUUUUCGGUGACAGUUUUCACAGAAGGUUAAAGGGACUCAAAUAUUCCACAUAAACUACAGCACUGAUGCGAGCGUGCGGUUAUAACUGUGUCUUCCCCAAGUAAUGUAAUCCACGAGAGGCAGCCUGGUGGGAAAGAUGCCCCAGGGCUGCUGUUCUGUCUUCGGGAUCGUAAAACCCAAGCGGCUACCUGAGAAUGGAUAAGUAAAGAAAUGGCUCUUUUUCCUCAAAGGUAAUUCACUUGGAUUUCUAUACAUAAUGACUCUUACUGUUUGCUUUUCAAAAACAUGUUUUGAGGCCAGCUGACACAACAGGGCUUUACCCAGAGAUCUCCCAUCUUUUUACAGGAUUCACAGUGGUACCUGGAACGGUUCCAUUGAGUAGAAAGGUAGGGGGUGUUAUAGUAGGGCCAAUUCCACUUGUAACAAAAAUCCGAGCAUUACUGAAAUAUCAUUUUAAAACUUGAGGAAAACGUGCACCUAUUUAAAACAAUAGCAGUACAAAUAUAUUAUACUGACAUGCUUGUCACAUUCAUUUGCAAUGGGAUAAUAAGUUACCAUCCCAGUGCUGGUUUAGAGAGGCGUCAGCUACCUGAUGAGAAACUGCCCAAAUGCAAAGACACCAGUAGAAUCAGAGGCCAAGGGAACAGAAGAUGUUGCGAAGAGCCUGGGUAGCAGGGGGUCUGGGCGGGAAGCAGGGGGUCCGAGGUGGUGGGAGGGGGGCACAUUGGGACAUUCAGGUGGAAAAGGCUGGAAGCCCGCUGCUCAGAGAGGCCCUGGAGUGAAGUGACAGGAUGCAGACUCGGGUCUGGCACGGUGGAUUAGAGCCUGGGCCAGGGAACCUCACCUGUCUGACUUGGGGCGAGGAAACUACCUCCUGAGCCCUCGUUUCCUGGAUGGUACAACUGGGAUGUGAAACUAUCCCUUGUAAAGGGUUGUGGUUAGAAUUAUAUGAGCAUAAUAUCCAUACACAGUUAGCACUUCGUAAGCCGUCAAGUAAAUCAGGGAUCUUUAGCUGGUUUAUGAAACAAAGUUUCAUGCAGUUCACAGAUGUUUAAUUAGGCCCAUAGUGGGCUUUAUAAAAUUAUAAUUAUUCUUGAAUUCCUUGAAAUGUAACAAACUCAGUUUGCUUUAGUCUCCACCCGUCUUUGGUUUACACCCUGCCCACCCACUCAUCUGUGUCACCUGCUUGGUGCCUGUGGGCAACUGAAUUUGUGACUCUGGAAGUGAGAGCAUCAGUAAGCAAAGUUCUUCAGUGAGAUGAAAGCCACAAUGUGCAAAACACAUCCAGAGCUUUCAGGAUCUUGAAAAGAGCUGUCGAUCGUAGAAGCCAACACGAGAGGUGUCAGAAGGGCCAGUAGGUUCUAAAGAGAUGCCCAGAAGGGAGCAGUCAGGAAGAUCCAAGUUAUCGUACUGAUUUGCUGGAAGGAGUGUAUUAGGAAACUGGUGUGUGACAAUAUUAAUCUUACAGGUAUAAAUGGCCUAAAAAUACUGUGGCCAGUAAAUCCAAGGUUUCUAAAAUCUUUUAAUAAAACAGAUUAGCCAUAUUCAGCCAACUUGAUCAGGAUUAAAUUUUUCCCUAUGUAAUAUGUAUGUAUAUUACACAUUAAAUGUAUAUCUAAAUAUAUAUGAAUCUCAUGUUCCUUGAAGCAAUUUUUCUUAUGAGCCUUUUCUUGAUUUCCCACUGUUUCAAGGAGUUCACGAGAGAUGGAAUUUCCUAAAAGUUUUGAGCAAGGCAUUUGUAAUACAGAAAAAGUUUGCUGAGUGAAAUCAUCCACUAGAGGGCGCAAAAAUAUCACAGAUGAAGGGAUUAUAGCGGAAAAUAAAGAAACGGACACAGGCUUAUUUUAUAGGUGUCCUCUCUAGAGGGAGAUAUACAAUGUGGUUCUGGGGAACAUGUGCAUUGGAAUUGCUAUGGUAAUAGCUAAAAGGUGAUUUCCUAGGCUCUGUCCAGAUCCAUAUCUGGGGGUAGAACCUAGGUAUCUGCAUUCUUAAUAAGCACUCCAAGUGAUUUUUAUGUGUUGAAGUCUGACAAUAGCUUCCCUGAGGGGGAAAAGAAACCCAGAGAAAUAUUUUAAAGAGGAGCUGCAAUUUCUAAUACUUUUUCACAAGAGUGAAAAUAUUCCACCCACCCCAUAUCUGGGUUGACUAACAUGUUGUCAUGUAAGAACACAAACUACUUAAAGAAUUAAUAGAUGCAUUUAAACAAAGUUACUUUAAAAAUAUUUAACCAAGGGGCUUCCCUGGUGGUGCAGUGGUUUAGAGUCCACCUGCCAAUGCAGGGGACACGAGUUCGUGCCCCAGUCCGGGAAGAUCCCACAUGCCGCGGAGCGGCUGGGCCCGUGAGCCAUGGCCGCUGAGCCUGCGCAUCCGGAGCCUGUGCUCCGCAGCGGGAGAGGCCACAACAGUGAAAGGCCCGCGUACCGCAAAAAAAAAAAAAAAAAAUUAACCAAACUUGCUUGUCCGUUUUCCCUCAAAGGUUAUGGAGAAAAUAUCAUAUGGUACAUCCUGGAAACACUAAGAGUGUGUUACUGCUUCAGGCAUGUUGAACCAGUGGAGAAAUCUAGGGUGCUGAGUCUAGGGGAUACUUAAUUAUAGGCUGAGACUUCAAGAAGCAAACAGGAAGGAAGUUGGGCUACAUCUCAUAAGAUGGCACGCCACCUCUUCCCCACAGAGCCAAGCCCUUGCCUGGGACUCUGGGACUCGCCCUGCUGUCCGCAGUGUUCUCCCCAGAAGCCUGUUUCUCUUCAGUGAGUAUCCACAGUGCACACGGGGUCUUCACAGGCCAGGUACCAACUUGUGCUUAAAUGAUCACAGCCUUGCACUUGAGGAGAAAUUGCCUGUGUGCUAAGUAGAACCAGAGACUGGCAAAUUAGAAGACUUUAAAAGGACCCAGUUUUGAAUUUGGAAUUAACAGACACGUUACUAUAUAUAAAAUAAACAACAAGGACCUAUUGUAUAACAUAGGGACUAUACUCAAUACCUUGUAAUAACCUAUAAUGGAAAAGAAUCUGUAAAAAGUACAUACAUAUAUAUAUAUACCUGAAUCACUUUGCUGUACACCUGAAACAUUGUAAAUCAACUCUACUUCAAUAAAAAAUAUAUAUGUUUAAAAAAAGACACAUUUUACCUCCUCAUUUUCUAGAUGAAGAAACUGAGGCCAAGAGAACUGAAUUGAUUUACCCAGGGUAAUACAGUAAGUUUUAGUAGAUUUUUUUU